rnacentral:rRNA from 1 species
CUACGCCUGCAUGAAGUCGGAAUUGCUAGUAAUCGCGGAUCAGCAUGCCGCGGUGAAUACGUUCCCGGGCCUUGUACACACCGCCCGUCACACCAUGGGAGUCGGUAACACCCGAAGCCUGUAGUCUAACCGUGAGGAGGACGCAGUCGAAGGUGGGAUUGAUGACUGGGGUGAAGUCGUAACAAGGUAGC